GAUGAACGCUAGCGGCAGGCCUAACACAUGCAAGUCGAGGGAGGAGCUUUCGGGCUUCGACCGGCGUACGGGUGCGUAACGCGUAUACAAUCUGCCUUUCACAUAGGGAUAGCCCGAAGAAAUUUGGAUUAAUACCUAAUGGUAUAUAGGAGUGGCAUCACAUUUAUAUUAAAGCUGAGGCGGUGAAAGAUGAGUAUGCGUUCUAUUAGCUAGUUGGAGAGGUAACGGCUCCCCAAGGCGACGAUAGAUAGGGGUUCUGAGAGGGAUAUCCCCCACACUGGGACUGAGAUACGGACCAGACGCCUACGGGAGGCAGCAGUGAGGAAGAUUGGACAAUGGUCGGAAGACUGAUCCAGCCAUGCCGCGUGCAGGAAGACGGCCUUAUGGGUUGUAAACUGCUUUUGCAGGGGAAGAAUAAGGACUACGAGUAGGUUGAUGACGGUACUCUGCGAAUAAGCAUCGGCUAACUCCGUG
rnacentral:rRNA from 1 species